AGACGUCUUAUUACAAGACAUCUUAUUCUUAUAAUUGAAUAAUCUUAACUGCUAUUAUCCAAUCAAAUGCCUUCUACUCGUAGCUGAAUUUAAGGGCUAAAUUUACCAAAUCUAAAAGCUAAAUUUAGAAGGAUUAUUAUUUUUCACUCCAUGAACAUAAGUACUGCGAUCAUGCAUUAUCACGGACAGCUUCUUCAUUCGAUGAAUUUGAUGGGUUAGGGAUAUAAGUUGAAGAAGAAACACUUUAAACAUAUUAAUCAUAUCUGCAAACAAAUAAAAGAAAAAGGAAAAGAAAUUGGUUGCCAAAUUC
rnacentral:lncRNA from 1 species